rnacentral:rRNA from 1 species
UCCGUAGGCGGUGUGGCAAGUCGGUAGUGAAAUCUCUCGGCUUAACUGAGAGGCUGCUGCCGAAACUGCCAUGCUCGAGUGCGAGAGAGGCGAGUGGAAUUGCGGGUGUAGCGGUGAAAUGCGUAGAUAUCCGCAGGAACAUCCGAGGCGAAAGCGGCUCGCUGGAUCGCAACUGACGCUGAGGGACGAAAGCUAGGGGAGCAAACAGGAUUAGAUACCCUGGUAGUCCUAGCCCUAAACCAUCAGGACUUGGGGUUUGCCCUGUACGGGGCAAGUCCCGGAGCUAACGCGUUAAGUCCUGCGCCUGGGGAGUACCGGUCGCGAAGGCUGUAA